rnacentral:lncRNA from 1 species
CGAUCGCAGACUCUGCUUCAAUAAAACGCGCGGUCUGUAUAGUAAGCGGCGCUCCUCGUCCUGUUCCCUGGAGCGGCUGCCCACGCCUUGCAGGGAGGCCCCUCUGGCGAAGGAGCGUCUUUGCUGUGGGUGUCAGUCCCGCCAGUGCGGGCAGCUAUCUUCUGCCGCUGCCGGAAGCGGUGGGCUGCGGACACCCGCGUCCCGCUACAGUCCCGGCACCUCCUGCAAGAGACUCGCAGCGAGCUGUCCCGUGAGAAACCGGCGCUUCCAGCUGGCUGUAAAUCAGGAUGGAAUCUAGUCCCAAGAGUGAGUCCUGCUGCCAGCCUGCCUUCAAAGAGAAGAAUCAACUGACUUUAAUUAUGUUAAUGUCUACUCUAGUAAUUACCAGGAGCUUCUUUAACAUUCCUUCCUUCUGCCAUACAAGUUAGAAUAGGUCUAAGUUUAUUUUGUCUACUUACAUUUAGUCUAAAAGAAAUAAUAAUAUAUGGAGAUAUCCUAUCUCCUAGAACUGGAAGGGACCUCAAAAGGUCAUCGAGUCCAGCCCCCUGCCUUCACUAGCAGGACCAAGUACUGAUUUUGCCCCAGAUCCCUAAGCGGCCCCCUCAAGGAUUGAGCUCAUAACCCUGGAUUUAGCAGGCCAAUGCUCAAACCACUGAGCUGUCCCUCCCCCGGAUCUAAAGAACCCAAAGGAUCUAAAGAAAUCUAUGACUUUCAGACAUGAAUGUUCAAGAUGAUUUCAGGAAGCAUGUUACACAAAGACUCGGGGCCCUAUCUAGUCUAGAAUCAUGGAACCUGUCUUCAACCCAGGACUUUGCAGGAAAGGUCUCAUUCCACCCAGCAACAAGAGUCUCUUAGAUUGCCAGGCAGAGCAUGAGGAAUGAGAUUAUAAUUUCUCUGCUCCCUUAAAUAAAGAGAAUGAGGUUAAUUCCA